UCUUAACUACAGCAAGAAACUGAGCAUAGUCUACCUUCUCCGUCUCUCAGCCUUCCUGUCACUUCUUCCCCUCUCCAAAAGACUUCACACAACAGAUGCUUCCUAACGGAGCUUAACUGCUACAGAUUUCUGUUGUCGCUUCCACGUCUGCAGAACUGAACCAUGAAGGUUAUUUCUCCAAAAGUUUGACAGCUCCAGGCCAAUUUCUACUAAAAAUGCUAUCCACCCUGGGCAUGUCAAAAUUUCCAGAGUGAGGCAGAACGUUGAAAUACAGAGGGAUAAGGUAACUUUUUUGAAAAAUAUGGGUGAACACAGUCCUAUUACAUGAAUAUGGGAGUUACAUCACAUCCCUGGAAGAGAAAUUUCAGGAGGAAAGAGCCCAUGAAGCCGCAGCUAGACCUGUAAUCCACUCACACUUGUUAUAAAGUGUGAUCCAAGAAGCGGGAUGUUACAGUGGAAAAGCACCUGUUUCUGUGAAAGCAUGCCCUACGGCCUUCACAGAGAUUUCACCCACCUGGUGGAGGACUUCACCUAUGCCCCUGGUGCACAUCCUGUGAACAGUCAAAGGUGGGUGGAAUGUUUCUCUGCCCUGCUUCACAAAGCUCAACCUUCUGACCCUGUCUCUCAGUGGAAAAAGCCAGAUCUUAACUGCCUUUCUGACAGGCUUAGGACAAUGAACUUCAUUGCUUCAUCCUUACAGUCUCCUGCUGGUAAACAUGGGUGUAAGGAUUUCAGCCUAUUAGUUAAUCACCAGUCACAUGGCAAGUUACAGAGGAGGGUAUGUCUUUGGAAUGAUCUUUAAGAACCACAGCUCUGAGGUCUUACAUGGUAGGAUGGCAUAAUGAAACAAAUAAAUCAGAGACACUAAAACAAGAUUUGUCAAAAUUAUGGGGAGGGGGGAACCUGUUGCCAUCAAGUCAACUCAACUCAGAGUGACUCCAUGUGUGUCAGACCAGAAUGGCACGCCAUAGGAUUCUCAAUGGCUGAUUUUUUGGGAACAGGUUGCCAGGCCUUUCUUCUGAGGCACAUCUGGGUGGACUUGAACCUCCAAUCUUUUGGUUAGCGGCUGAGUGCAUUACCUAUUUGCACCACCUAGGGACUCUGUCAAUACUAUACUGAUUAUAUCAAUUUGGUGGAACCAUCACUUUUCAAGACUUUUUUUUUACCCUUUUUCUUUUAAUUUUUAUUGUGCUUUAAGUGCAGGUUUACAAGUCAAGUUGGUCUCUCACACAACAACUUAUAUACACCUUGCUACAUACUCCCAAUUGCUCUCCCCCAAUGAGACAGCCUGCUCCCUCGCUCCACUCUCUCUUUUCGUGUCCAUUUCGCUAGCUUCUAACUCCCUCCACCCUCUCAUCUCCCCUCCAGACAGGAGAUGCCAACAUAGUCUCAAGUGUCCACCUGAUCCAAGAAGCUCACUCCUUACCAGCAUCAUUCUCCAUCCCAUUGUCCAGUCAAAUCCCUGUCUGAAGAGUUGCCUUUGGGAAUGGUUCCUGUCCUGGGCCAACAGAAGGUCUGGGGGCCACGACCACCAGGGUCCUUCUAGUCUCAGUCAGACCAUUAAGUCUGGUCUUUUUACGAGAAUUUGUUUACCCUUUUUCUUGACGUAAAAAUAAUACAUACUUACUUCAGAGGUGUCAGAAAAUAUAAAAGAGUAAAAAGAAACAAACAUUACUA